rnacentral:rRNA from 1 species
CCUACGGGAGGCAGCAGUGGGGAAUAUUGGACAAUGGGCGCAAGCCUGAUCCAGCAAUGCCGCGUGUGUGAAGAAGGCCUGCGGGUUGUAAAGCACUUUAAGCAGGAAAGAAGGCUUCGGAGCUAAUAUCUUCGAAGAUUGACGUUACCUGCAGAAUAAGCACCGGCUAACUCCGUGCCAGCAGCCGCGGUAAUACGGAGGGUGCGAGCGUUAAUCGGAAUUACUGGGCGUAAAGCGCGCGUAGGCGGUUUGCUAAGUCCGCUGUGAAAGCCCUGGGCUUAACCUGGGAACUGCAGUGGAUACUGGCAGGCUAGAGUAUGGUAGAGGAGAGUGGAAUUUCCGGUGUAGCAGUGAAAUGCGUAGAGAUCGGAAGGAACACCAGUGGCGAAGGCGGCUCUCUGGACCAAUACUGACGCUGAGGUGCGAAAGCGUGGGGAGCAAGCAGGAUUAGAUACCCUGGUAG